CUACGGGUCGCAGCAGUAGGGAAUAUUGGACAAUGGGCGAAAGCCUGAUCCAGCAACACCGCGUGCACGAUGACGGCCUUCGGGUUGUAAAGUGCUUUUAGAGGAGAUGAGAAAGGACAGUAUCCUCUGAAUAAGCCUCGGCGAACUACGUGCCAGCAGCCGCGGUAAAACGUAGGAGGCAAGCGUUAUCCGGAUUUAUUGGGCGUAAAGCGCGUGCAGGCGGUCUAGCAAGUUGGAUGUGAAAGCUCCCGGCUCAACUGGGAGAGGUCGUUCAAUACUGUUAGACUAGAGAAUAGGAGAGGGAGGUGGAAUUCCGGGUGUAGUGGUGAAAUGCGUAGAUAUCCGGAGGAACACCAGUGGCGAAAGCGGCCUCCUGGACUAUUUCUGACGCUAAGACGCGAAAGCUAGGGUAGCAAACGGGAUUAGAUACCCGGGUAGUC
rnacentral:rRNA from 1 species